GUCCUACCCCGAGCUCAAGCCCAUCUCGGACGUCCUGAGAAAUGCUCCUCCCCUUGCAACUUCCUAGUAUUUGGCCUCACUCAUGAGACCCUCCUCUGGAAAGCCCUCAACCAUCACUCGCAAGCGAAGUACCGCAUAGAUGAAAUUUGCUAUACCAACCAUCAGGUGAUGGGCCCCCAAAAAGAUUUCUAUUUGAGCAUAAUGCUGACGAGAGACAAUGCCAAGACAAAGCAACUUCCCUGAAAUUGCGAGCUCUGUGCUGCAUACCUGACAAGAGCCCCCACAAUUCCAAUCCUUGAAUUUGGAUGGUGAUGGCUUAGUCGUAGAGUGAGAGUUUAUAGCUGCCAAAGCCAUUGAUAUCUGCGUGAGCAAGAUUAUCUAUCGCCCAGUGCUUGUCCCUUCGUAUGAAGGAACCCCACUCUGUGAUGUCCGCCAGGUUUUUCCAAUUAUAUUGAUGCCCUGGUCAAUCUAGAUGGAUGAGUUCAUUCCAUUUCCACCCAAUUUCGUGUAAAAUUUUUUGGGUGGGUUGUCCCUGUCCCUCGGUGUGAUGCUGGUAUGAAACCGGCUUAUGUCGUGUCUUGUAGACUUGUCCUGGAUGAGAGUUGUUCUUAUUGUGUUCGGGAGGCUAUGUCUAGUGAGGACUUCAGUUCUUCAUAGGUUUACAGUUACCGGCUCUUGAAAAUACUCUAGUGGAAAACUCUAAUCGAGCCUAACAAAUCGCAAGAAAGGCACCGCGCAGGGGAGGAAGUCUCUGUCUGUAUUUGGAAAUUUGUGAAGUUCGUGUUAUGUACCAUUUGAGAAGGUAUAUAAAUACUGUAGCUGAUUGUGCGUGAUGAUACAUGAUGUUUAUACCAAAAUCUCGCAAG